rnacentral:rRNA from 1 species
GAGGAAUAUUGGUCAAUGGGCGCGAGCCUGAACCAGCCAAGUAGCGUGAAGGAUGACUGCCCUAUCGGUUGUAAACUUCUUUUAUACGGGAAUAAAGUGAGGCACGUGUGCCUUAUUGUAUGUACCUUAGGAAUCAGCAUCGGCUAACUCCGUGCCAGCAGCCGCGGUAAUACGGAGGAUGCAAGCGUUAUCCGGAUUUAUUGGGUUUAAAGGGAGCGUAGGCGGACUAUUAAGUCAGCUGUGAAAGUUUACGGCUCAACCGUGAAAUUGCAGUUGAAACUGGUCGUCUUGAGUGCAGUAAAGGUGGGCGGAAUUCGUGGUGUAGCGGUGAAAUGCAUAGAUAUAACGAGUAACUCCGAUUGCUCAGGCAGCUUACCCAGCCGUUACUGACGCUCAAGCACGAAGGCGUGGGGAUCAAACA